CCUUGAUGGCGACCGGCGCACGGGUGAGUAACGCGUAUGCAACCUGCCCGAUACCGGGGUAUAGCCCAUGGAAACGUGGAUUAACACCCCAUAGUACUUUUAUCCUGCCUGGGAUGGGAGUUAAAUGUUCAAGGUAUCGGAUGGGCGUGCGUCCUAUUAGUUAGUUGGCGGGGUAACAGCCCACCAAGACGAUGAUAGGUAGGGGUUCUGAGAGGAAGGUCCCCCACAUUGGAACUGAGACACGGUCCAA
rnacentral:rRNA from 1 species